rnacentral:piRNA from 1 species
UAGAGAAACAUUUUAAUGAGCCUGGGUUGC